rnacentral:lncRNA from 11 species
UGAAUUUCUCCCUUGAAGUGCUCUGUACAAGGUGUCGGAGAUUGUGACAUCUUUGCUUCCUGAUGGUUCAAUGUACCCAGACGUUCAGGCAUAAAGUUAUAAAAACCUCUCAAUAUAAAAG